GCGCCCGUGGCGGAAUGGCAGACGCCAGCGACUUAAAAUCGCUUGCCGUAAGGCGUGCCGGUUCGAGUCCGGCCGGGCGCACCA
rnacentral:tRNA from 1 species